GGGCAACCAGGCUACUGGAUUCCAAGAAAUGGAUAGAGGAAACUCUUCAGAUUAAGAAUCAGGAGAAUUGAAGAUAUUCAGCAAAUUUCUUUGUUGGCAUCUCUAAUGUGAUUAAGAUAUCAGAGUUUUGGGGAACAAAGGUAUAGUGGUUGCUUCUGGCUACGGCACAUGCGCUCCCUCUGCAGGCCCAAAUUAUGAGAGCACCAGUUGGUUAGGCAGCACAGCUGAUUUUCUUGAUGCUCUCAAGCUAGGAUGUCUAUGCUCUUGAUAAUAUUGUCCAUGGUUGUGGCUACUACUCAUGUAAGAGUGUGUGUAUAUGACCUGGGCAUUUCUUUGGAUUUCUUAGUGGUCAAGGCAGUGGUUUGUUCAGACAGAAAUUCCAGCCCAUGCAUGGUCAUCUGUGAGAGUGAGUCCUUUGAGGUUUAUAUCAAGUUUUUGGGAUUCGAUUUGCAAGGUUUCUUUAAGUCCUGGAGGAAAAGGUCAAGUGCAAGGAAGUCCAGCAUCUCAAUAGGGUUUUGGGCAGUCAGGUUUUAGUUCUUGGUGAUUCAGGAGUCAGGCAGGAGAGAGAAAAAUUGGAAAUGUUCGUUUGAAGGGUCGUAGCCAGAUAUUGAAGAAAACGGAAAGAACUGAAAGUUUGUUAAACAACUGACCAAGAAUCUGGGCAAGGUAGCAGGAUCCAGUCUAAUUUGCAGGUAGGAACCCUAACUGGUGUUUCCUGAGGAAGAGAAAGUCAACUAAAUCUCCAUCAGACAAGACAGAGUUUGUAUGAUAUAUAUCAGUUUCCUUCAAUUUAUAAAGUGAUGCACAAUAGUUCAAAGAUAAUGAACAGGACCAGAAUCUGAUAAACCAGAAAUAUGUGCUACAGAUGAUACAGAGUUUUCCACCGAAAUAAAAUUUUUCUUUAUAGUACUGAAAAAUAUUCACUUACCAAUUCUGUGAACAUUUGUUAUAUAGUUUAGACUAUAAUGAAUAUUCAAUUCAGUAUUCUGAUUUAUUUUUUCUCAAUUAGAAAGGAAUUCAUUAGAAGAGGAAAAUGUUAUAUAUUUGUGGAAUGGCACACCACUCUGAAAACAGAAUCUAGUUUUUAAUGCUAAAAAAUUAGGAAAUGAAGUUUAAAAAUCAACGAGCUAUAAACUGAGAAAUACAGAGGAAGGAAAUGAUACUGCAGAAUGUCAAAUAUUUAUGUAGUGGACUCUCACAAGUGAGUUUCACAUAUUUAUUUUUGGAUCCCUCCAGCAGGAACCGACAUCAGCACUGAGAAGCCGUUUAUUGAAGUAUGGGAAUGAGUGUGUUUUGAUCCUAACUGGAGAGUGUUUUGUCUGCCUUAGUGAAAGGAGAAGCUGAAGAACGCAGCAGCCAUCGUGCCUGCUAAUUUUGAUGUUAUGAUUUAAUACCAGGGGCUUUUCAUCAGGAGAACCAGAGGCAGGAGUGCCUGUAAUCUGAGGCAGCCAAUGAAAGUGUUAGAGAAGAAGACAAACAAGGGAAAAGAAGACAUAAACAAGAGACUGACUUUGUGAGGAUCAUCUGCGAUGGGUUGUGGAGAAGGAAUGAAUGAUGCAUAGAAAGAAAUGAUAGUACAUAAAUGGGUAAGGAUAUCAGAAAAGGACAUUUCUCACAAGGUGAACAUCAUUCAUUUAAAACUGGUCUGAUUGUCCCAUAGAACUAAUAUUUAUGGUUUUUUAAAUAAAUAUAGAAAUUGACGAAACCGACCCUCAGGCAAGGGACUGAAACUCAUCAGAUCACUGCAUCUGGACAAUGAGAUGCCAGACCCCUCAUCCAUCAUCAUUGCUUUCUUUCCCCUCCUUAAUUCCUGUUUUCCCACCUUCCCUACUAUAUAAAACCCCCAGUUGGAGAGAUGGGUUUGAGACUUUAUCUGUCGUUCUCCUUGGUCACAGCACCCAAUUAAAGCCUUCUUCCCUGGUAAUACUCAUUGUUUCAGUGGUUGGCGUUCUGUGUGGCCAUCAGCAGGGCCUGGACUGAAUCCCUGGCAUUUCGG
rnacentral:lncRNA from 1 species